UCUCAGCUCACUGCAACAUUUUCCUCCUGGGUUCAAGCGAUUCUCCUGCUCAGCCUCCCGAGUAGCUGGGAUUACAGGCACAAGCCACCACACCUGGCUAAUUUUUUAUAUUUUUGGUAGAGACGGGGUUUCACCAUGUUGGCCAGGCUGGUUUCGAACUCCUGACCUCAGGUGAUCUACCUGCCUCGGCCUCCCAAAGUGCUGGGAUUACAGGCAUGAGCCACCACACCUGGCCUAUAAUUUUUGGGUCAAAGUGUAACUCUGUUUAAUUGUUUAGGGGAAUUUCCAACCUAUUUUAUGGUUUUAUUGUUGUUGUUUUGAGACAAGGUCUCACUCUGUCACCCAGGCUGGAGUGCAGUGGCACGAACAUGACUCACUGCAGCCUUGACCUCCUGGGCUCAAGCAAUCCUCCAGUCUCAGCCCCUCAGGUUGCUAGGACUACAGGCGCAAGCCACCACACCCAGGUUGCAUAUGUCACCUGCACUGUGGUCCAGGAGUCUCAAGUCACCAUCCCCACCAUGGUCAGUCGCCUGGUGACCCCAGGCAGAAACUGAUCAUCAGGGGAUCUUGGAGGUCCUGUUCUCUACGAGUGAAUAUCCUAAGGACCAUAA
rnacentral:lncRNA from 10 species